rnacentral:rRNA from 1 species
GUGGGGAAUAUUGGACAAUGGGGGGAACCCUGAUCCAGCCAUGCCGCGUGUGUGAAGAAGGCCUUUUGGUUGUAAAGCACUUUAAGCGAGGAGGAGGCUACCGAGAUUAAUACUCUUGGAUAGUGGACGUUACUCGCAGAAUAAGCACCGGCUAACUCUGUGCCAGCAGCCGCGGUAAUACAGAGGGUGCAAGCGUUAAUCGGAUUUACUGGGCGUAAAGCGCGCGUAGGUGGCCAAUUAAGUCAAAUGUGAAAUCCCCGAGCUUAACUUGGGAAUUGCAUUCGAUACUGGUUGGCUAGAGUAUGGGAGAGGAUGGUAGAAUUCCAGGUGUAGCGGUGAAAUGCAUAGAGAUCUGGAGGAAUACCGAUGGCGAAGGCAGCCAUCUGGCCUAAUACUGACACUGAGGUGCGAAAGCAUGGGGAGCACACAGGAUUAGAAACCCUUGUAGUCC